GACGAACGCUGGCGGCGUGCUUAAUACAUGCAAGUCAACUGAACUUAAGGUAGUAAUAUCUUAAGAGAGGUGGCGCACGGGUGAGUAACACGUAGGUAAUCUGCCUUUAGGUCUGACACAACCUAUCGAAAGGUAGGCUAAUAUCAGAUGAUGCAGCGGCUCGACAUCGAGACAGUUGUUAAACCUCGGGGCCUAAAGAUGAGCCUGCGUCUGAUUAGGAGUUGGCGGAGUAAAAGCCCACCAAGCCUGCGAUCAGUAGCUGGUCUGAGAGGAUGAUCAGCCACACUGGAACUGAGACACGGUCCAGACUCCUACGGGA
rnacentral:rRNA from 1 species